GGCCUUGACAUGCAGAGAACUUCCAGAGAUGGAUUGGUGCCGUUCGGGAACUCUGACACAGGUGCUGCAUGGCUGUCGUCAGCUCGUGUCGUGAGAUGGUUGGGUUAACGUCCCGUAACGAGCGCAACCCUUGUCCUUAGUUACCAGCACGUUAUGGUGGGCACUCUAAGGAGACUGCCGGUGACAAACCGGAGGAAGGUGGGGAUGACGUCAAGUCAUCAUGGCCCUUACGGCCUGGGCUACACACGUGCUACAAUGGUCGGUACAAAGGGUUGCCAAGCCGCGAGGUGGAGCUAAUCCCAUAAAACCGAUCGUAGUCCGGAUCGCAGUCUGCAACUCGACUGCGUGAAGUCGGAAUCGCUAGUAAUCGUGAAAUCAGAAUGUCACGGUGAAUACGUUCCCGGGCCUU
rnacentral:rRNA from 1 species